rnacentral:lncRNA from 1 species
AUGAGAGAAAUCAACACAAAUUGCUUUUCUGUUGGGAAAUUAGAAAGUUAUGGGAAAAGCAAGAACCCAAUCUUCCAUGGGAAAUAGAAGAGUAUGAUGCGUCAAAUACACUUUUAGCGGCCACUAAGUCACACAGGGCUCUACUUAAUCCUCCACAUACAUCAAUCUUUCCUUACCUUUAUUGUCACUGGCAUAAAGAACAUAAUUCUUUAGGUGAUGGCAAUUCCAACAACCAGGGGUAUU